GUGAGGAAUAUUGGUCAAUGGGCGAGAGCCUGAACCAGCCAAGUCGCGUGAAGGAAGAAGGAUCUAUGGUUCGUAAACUUCUUUUGCAGGGGAAUAAAGUGCGGUACGUGUCCUGUUUUGUAUGUACCCUGAGAAUAAGGAUCGGCUAACUCCGUGCCAGCAGCCGCGGUAAUACGGAGGAUCCGAGCGUUAUCCGGAUUUAUUGGGUUUAAAGGGUGCGUAGGUGGUUUGAUAAGUCAGCGGUGAAAGUUUGCAGCUUAACUGUAAAAAUGCCGUUGAAACUGUCGGACUUGAGUGUAAAUGAGGUAGGCGGAAUGCGUGGUGUAGCGGUGAAAUGCAUAGAUAUCACGCAGAACUCCGAUUGCGAAGGCAGCUUACUAAGCUACAACUGACACUGAAGCACGAAAGCGUGGGGAUCAAACAGGAUUAGAUACCCGUGUAGUCC
rnacentral:rRNA from 1 species